ACAUCUCUCCAAAGGUCAUGCCUAUUCUAGUGUGCUGCACUCAGUGAAGAAGUUGGAGUAAGUGUCAAAAGAGUGAAGGCCAAGCUCUAACUGUGACAGAGAGUUUGAGAUGGAUAAAUGAUGCUUUGAAAAACACGUGACUUUUCGCUGGGACCUCCAUCUCCUGUAAAUAAGCAACAACCUGUUCAAGGAUCAAUGUGCCUCUGAGAUGAGGACAACAAGGCAUCACUAAGAAAUCUAUAUAGUCCUACCUCCCAGAAGAUGAGUGAAGGUGUUACAGUUAGGAUGACUGUUGACAUGAGGCUCUCAGAGGUUCACCACAAAUCGGAAGGACAAGAUUGAGAUUGCCAUUCUUAUGGUCUUUCCAUAGUCUCCCCUUGCAAUUAGAAUUGACCAUCACUGUGGACCUCAUCUAUUAGAUGAAGGAUGUCUAGAAAGCCUCUGGACAGGCAGCAUGGCAGAAAUCAACUCUUUCCAAAAAAUAAAAAAGGCUGCUGCUGACACAGUGGAUAGAGCACACACAAGCUCCCUGUCUGACACCUUCAGCUCUUGCAUAUCCCCUUGGCUAACAUUUCAGAGCUUCUGAUUCUUCAGACAUCAGCUUCUUGAUACUGAAGAGAUUGUUCUACCUGAUGAGCCCAGGCCUAGAAGAUGGACUACAUCCAAGAAGCCUGGCCAAUCUAAGGCCAAGUCACAUCUUUAAGUAAUAUUUGAAAGCAUUUGUGCACAGGAUAAAGGUGCAAGGACCAAAGUCUCCUUAGACAUUCCAGCCUACAAAGGGUCUGACAGACUCAGGUCAAAGGUUACGUCUGAAGCCUAGAUCAUGAAGAAGGCCCCACUCCACAGGAGAAGCCUGUGGC
ensembl:lncRNA